AAAAAGUGAUAUAGUAAUCAAAGUUUAGGGGAGGAUGGCUCCCGUAUAAACAGAUAGGAGGAAAAUAUUAUG
ncrna:unclassified sequences Clostridium-PBP RNA